AUUGGUUGCUAGGCAGUUGCGAACAUAUUCAAGGUGGUUGCUAAGCUGUUGCUAACUUGUUGCUAGGCAACUCCUAACGUAUUCCAAAUGGUUUUUAAGUGGUUAUUAGGCAGUUUCUAAUAUUUUCCAGGUGGUUGCUAACUGGUUGCUAUGGUAUCCGGGGUGGUUGCUAAGGUGUUGCUAGGUGGUUGCUAAGGUGUUGCUAUGGUAUCUGGGGUGGUUGCUAAGGUGUUGCUAGGUGGUUGCUAGAGGGUUAAUAGGUGGUUGCUAAGGUGUUGCUAUGGGAUCCGGGGUGGUUGCUAAGGUGUUGCUAUGGUAUCCGGGUUGGUUGCUAAGGUGUUGCUAGGUGGUUGCUAAGGUGUUGCUAUGGUAUCCAGGGUGGUUGCUAAGGUGUUGCUAGGUGGUUGCUAGGGUGUUGCUAGGCGGUUGCUAUGUAUCCAGGGUGGUUGCUAAGGUGUUGCUAGGUGGUUGCUAAGGUGUUGCUAUGGUAUCUGGGGUGGUUGCUAAGGUGUUGCUAGGUGGUUGCUAAGGUGUUGCUAUGGUAUCCUGGGUGGUUGCUAAGGUGUUGCUAGGUGGUUGCUAUGGUGUUGCUAUGGUAUCCAGGGUGGUUGCUAAGGUGUUGCUAGGUGGUUGCUAAGGUGUUGCUAUGGUAUCCUGGGUGGUUGCUAAGGUGUUGCUAGGUGGUUGCUAGGCAGUCGCUAAGGUGUUGCUAUGGUAUCCUGGGUGGUUGCUAAGGAGUUUCUAGGUGGUUGCUAAGGUGUUGCUAGGUGGUUGCUAAGGUGUUGCAAUGGUAUCCGGGGUGGUUGCUAAGGUGUUGCUAGGUGGUUGCUAGGCGGUUGCUUAGGUGUUGCUAUGGUAUCCGGGGUGGUUGCUACGGUGUUUCUAAGUGGUUGCUAAGGUGUUGCUAGGUGGUUGCUAAGGUGUUGCUAUGGUAUCCAGGGUGGUUGCUAAGGUGUUGCUAGGUGGUUGCUAAGGUGUUGCUAGGUGGUUGCUAGGGUGUUGCUAGGUGGUUGCUAGGGUGUUGCUAGGUGGUUGCUAAGGUGUUGCUAUGGUAUCCAGGGUGGUUGCAAAGGUGUUGCUAGGUGGUUGCUAGGUGGUUGCUAGGGUGUUGCUAGGUGGUUGCUAAGGUGUUGCUAUGGUAUCCAGGGUGGUUGCUAAGGUGUUGCUAGGUGGUUGCUAAGGUGUUGCUAGGUGGUUGCUAAGGUGUUGCUAUGGUAUCCGGGGUGGUUGCUAAGGUGUUGCUAGGUGUUUGCAAGGUGGUUGCUAAGGUGUUGCUAGGUGGUUGCUAGGGUGUUGCUAGGUGGUUGCUAAGGUUUUGCUAGGUGGUUGCUAAGGUGUUGCUAUGGUAUCCAGGGUGGUUGCUAAGGUGUUGCUAGGUGGUUGCUAAGGUGUUGCUAUGGUAUCCGGGGUGGUUGCUAAGGUGUUGCUAGGUGGUUGCUAGGCGGUUGCUAGGCGGUUGCUAAGGUGUUGCUAUGGUGUCUGUGGUGGUUGCUAAGGUGUUGCUAGGUGGUUGCUAAGAUGUUGCUAUGGUAUCUGGGGUGGUUGCUAAGGUGUUGCUAGGUGUAUCUGACUGGUCGCUAGGCAGUUGCUACCAUUUCUAAAGUGGUUGCUAAGCAGUUGCUAACGUUUUCCAGGUGGUUGCUAAGGUGUUGCUAUCUGGUUGCUAGGCAGUUGCUAACGUAUUACACAUGGUUGCUAAGUGGUUGCUAGGCAGUUGCUAAUGUUUUCCAGGUGGUUGCUAAGGUGUAUCUAACUGGUUGCUAGGCAGUAGUAGAUAAAAAGAAAGAGUGUUAAAUGUAGAAGUACAGAAAAAGGGAGAGCCUGAAAUAGAGAAGUAGAGAGAAAAUCAGCGUGAGAAGUAGAGAAAGAACACCCGAGAAUGUGAGAAAAAGAGUGACAAGUAGAGAGAAAUAUUGAGCGAGAGAAAGAGAAUUAGGGAAAAAGAGAGAUCGAGAAAUAAAGAAGUAGAGAAAGAAAGAGGAUGUAGUAGAGAGAUAGAUAGAAAGAGAAAGCAAGACAGAAAAGUAGAGUGAAAGAGAAGUAGAGAGAAGAGCGAGAAAUAAAGAGUAAGAGAGAAAUAGAGAAAUAGAAAAGUAGAAAGAAAGAGACAUAGAAAAGUAGAGAGAGUGAGAAAUAGAGAAGUAGAGAGAGAGUGAGAAAGAGAGAGUGAGAAAUAGAGAAGAAGAGAGCAAAAGAGAGUGAGAAAUAGAGAAGCAGAGAGAGAGUGAGAAAUAGAGAAGUAGAGAGAGAGUGAGAAAGAGAGAGUGAGAAAUAGAGAAGUAGAGAGAGUGAGAAAUAGAGACGUAGAAAAGAGUGAGAAAGAGAGAGUGAGAAAUAGAGAAGUAGAGAGAGAGUGAGAAAUAGAGACGUAGAGAGAGAGUGAGAAAUAGAGAAGUAGAGAGCAAAAGAGAGAGAGAGAAGUAGAGAAGUAGAGAGCAAAAGAGAGAGUGAGACAGAAGUAGAGAGCAAACGAGAGAGUGAGAAGUAGAGAAGUAGAGAGCAAAAGAAAGAGUGAGAAAUAGAGAAGUAGAGAGAGAGUGGGAAAGAUAGAGUGAGAAUUAGAGAAGUAGAAAGAGAGAGUGAGAUAGAGAAGUAGAGAGAGAGUGAGAAAUAGAUAAGUAGAGAGAGAGUGAGAAAGAGAGAGUGAGAUAGAGAAGUAGAGAGAGAGUGAGAAAUAGAGUGAGAAAUAGAGACGUAGAGAGAGUGAGAAAGAGAGAGUGAGAUAGAGAAGUAGAGAGAGAGUGAGAAAUAGAGUGAGAAAUAGAGACGUAGAGAGAGAGUGAGAAAGAGAGUGAGAAAUAGAGGAGUAGAGAGCAAAAGAGAGUGAGAAAUAGAGAAGUAGAGAGCAAAAGAGAGAGUGAGAAGUAGAGAAGUAGAGAGCAAAAGAAAGAGUGAGAAAUAUAGAAAUAGAGAGAGAGUGGGAAAGAGAGUGAGAAUUAGAGAAGUAGAGAGCGAAAGAGAGAGUGAGAAAGAGAGAGUGGUUGCUAAGCAGUUAAUAGGUGGUUGCUAAACCCUGGCUGGGGUGCCGGGGUGUCCAAACUUUUGACUGAUAGCUGCUCCAUACAGCAGCUCCUCCAUACACUCACAGUACUGGAGGAGCAGGGGAGAGAAGGGGUUCCGUGCGCAGAGCUGCUCGUGUGCGAGAUGGAACUCUGGGCCCCCCAUUCAUUUCUAUGGGAAAACUUCGUAUGAAAAUUGUACGAAAACCGUACGUCGUAUCGCUUCGCAACCUGCUAUUAAUUUAAAGAUCUCGGUAAGAUCUAUAAGCUCGCCAAAUUUGGUCUUCGUAUCUCAAAAAUUGUGGCGGUUACGGACGUUUAAAAUUUCGCCCCAUUCAUUCCUAUGGGGAAAAAAUGCGUACGUUUACGAAGUUUUUACGAAAACCGUACGAUAAAUCGCUCCAAAAAGCACAAGCACGCUAAGUUGGCAUAGGUCCUACGAUCCGUGAAAGUUUCGUGAUUCUACGUUGAAAGCUCUAGGAGGAGUAGCGUACAGAAAAAAAGGCGUAAGAAUAAUAAUAAUAACUAGAAAAGGAAAGUUCGAUAACGAACUUUAAGUUGGCUUGGAAAAGUACGUUAAUAACGUUGAAAAAGUUAAAAUGGUUGCUAAGAUAUUUCUGUCUAAAGCGUGUGAAGAGUGGUUGCUUUGCUGUUGACUUUCAGCUAAAUGUUAAAGUCUAAAAAGUUUUGGCUAACAUGGUGAAAAGCUAAUAAUUGUCUUAUAAAGUAAUAUAAA